rnacentral:rRNA from 1 species
AUUGAACGCUGGCGGCAUACCUUACACAUGCAAGUCGAGCGGCAGCACGGGUGCUUGCACCUGGUGGCGAGUGGCGAACGGGUGAGUAAUAUAUCGGAACGUACCUUAUCGUGGGGGAUAACGCAGCGAAAGCUGUGCUAAUACCGCAUAAGCCCUAAGGGGGAAAGCAGGGGACCGUAAGGCCUUGCGCGAUUAGAGCGGCCGAUACCUGAUUAGCUAGUUGGUGAGGUAAAGGCUCACCAAGGCAACGAUCAGUAGCUGGUCUGAGAGGACGAUCAGCCACACUGGGACUGAGACACGGCCCAGACCCCUACGGGAGGCAGCAGUGGGGAAUUUUGGACAAUGGGGGCAACCCUGAUCCAGCAAUGCCGCGUGAGUGAAGAAGGCCUUCGGGUUGUAAAGCUCUUUUGUCAGGGAAGAAACAGCAGCUCUAAUACAGUAUGCGAAUGACGGUACCUGAAGAAUAAGCACCGGCUAACUACGUGCCAGCAGCCGCCGUAA